GGGGACCUUCGGGGCCCUACACACCGGGCACCUGGCGUGGUUUUCAUAAGAAAACGGGGCGAGGGGCCUUUAACGAAGACGGGGAAACCUGUCAGUCGGGGUAACCCGACUUUGCUUAACGGAAGACAGAAA
rfam:Litorimicrobium taeanense strain DSM 22007 genome assembly, contig: Ga0070518_104